GACGAACGCUGGCGGCGCGCUUAACACAUGCAAGUCGAACGGAAAGGCCCUGCUGUUGUGGGGUGCUCGAGUGGCGAACGGGUGAGUAACACGUGAGUAACCUGCCCUUGACUUUGGGAUAACUUCAGGAAACUGGGGCUAAUACCGGAUAGGAGCUCCUGCUGCAUGGUGGGGGUUGGAAAGUUUCGGCGGUUGGGGAUGGACUCGCGGCUUAUCAGCUUGUUGGUGGGGUAGUGGCUUACCAAGGCUUUGACGGGUAGCCGGCCUGAGAGGGUGACCGGCCACAUUGGGACUGAGAUACGGCCCAGACUCCUACGGGAGGCAGCAGUGGGGAAUAUUGCACAAUGGGCGGAAGCCUGAUGCAGCAACGCCGCGUGCGGGAUGACGGCCUUCGGGUUGUAAACCGCUUUCGCCUGUGACGAAGCGUGAGUGACGGUAAUGGGUAAAGAAGCACCGGCUAACUACGUG
rnacentral:rRNA from 1 species